UACAGAGGCCCCAGGCGUUGUUCGGAUUCACUGGGCGUAAAGGGUGCGUAGGUGGUCAGGUAAGUCGGAUGUGAAAUCUCCGAGCUCAACUCGGAAACUGCAUUGGAAACUACCUGGCUCGAGGGUUGGAGGGGGGACUGGAAUGCUUGGUGUAGCAGUGAAAUGCGUAGAUAUCAAGCGGAACACCAGUGGCGAAGGCGAGUCCCUGGACAACUCCUGACACUGAUGCACGAAAGCUAGGGGAGCAAACAGG
rnacentral:rRNA from 1 species